AGUUCUGUACUUUAAACAAAAAGAUUUGAUUUGCAAUCAACCAUUGACUCAAAAUUCCAGAACUA
rnacentral:tRNA from 1 species